AUCCAGCUGACGAGUCCCAAAUAGGACAAAACACGCGUCCUGGAU
rfam:Schistosoma rodhaini strain Burundi genome assembly, scaffold: SROB_scaffold0006522